rnacentral:rRNA from 1 species
UACGUAGGGUCCGAGCGUUGUCCGGAAUCAUUGGGCGUAAAGAGCGUGUAGGCGGUCCGGUAAGUCCGUUGUGAAAGUCAGGGGCUCAACCCUUGAAUGCCGGCGGAUACUGUCGGGCUAGAGUCCGGAAGAGGCGAGUGGAAUUCCCGGUGUAGCGGUGAAAUGCGCAGAUAUCGGGAGGAACACCUAUGGCGAAGGCAGCUCGCUGGGACGGUACUGACGCUGAGACGCGAAAGCGUGGGGAGCAAACAGG